rnacentral:rRNA from 1 species
GAUGAACGCUAGCUACAGGCUUAACACAUGCAAGUCGCAGGGUAACAUGAGGAAAGCUUGCUUUCCUUGAUGACGACUGGCGCACGGGUGAGUAACGCGUAUCCAACCUUCCCAUAACUACGGGAUAACCCGUUGAAAGACGGCCUAAUACCGUAUGAUAUCGUUUGCUGACAUCAAAUAACGAUUAAAGGUUUAGCGGUUAUGGAUGGGGAUGCGUCUGAUUAGCUUGUUGGCGGGGUAACGGCCCACCAAGGCGACGAUCAGUAGGGGUUCUGAGAGGAAGGUACACCACAUUGGAACUGAGACACGAUCCAAACUCGUACGGGAGGAAGCAGUGAGGAAUAUUAGGCAAUGGGCGAGAGCCUGAACCAGCCAAGUAGCGUGCAGGACGACGGCCCUAGGGGUUGUAAGCUGCUUUUAUGUGGGGAUAAAGUGCGUGACGUGUCAUGCAUUGCAGGUACCAAAUGAAUAAGGACCGGCUAAUUCCGUG